GACGAACGCUGGCGGCGUGCCUAAUACAUGCCAGUAGAAUGCACAGUUUAUACCGUAGCUUGCUACACCAUAGACUGUGAGUUGCGAACGGGUGAGUAACGCGUAGGUAACCUGCCUGGUAGCGGGGGAUAACUAUUGGAAACGAUAGCUAAUACCGCAUAAUAUUAAUUAUUGCAUGAUAAUUAAUUGAAAGGUGCAAUUGCACCACUACCAGAUGGACCUGCGUUGUAUUAGCUAGUAGGUGAGGUAACGGCUCACCUAGGCGACGAUACAUAGCCGACCUGAGAGGGUGAUCGGCCACACUGGGACUGAGACACGGCCCAGACUCCUACGGGAGGCAGCAGUAGGGAAUCUUCGGCAAUGGACGAAAGUCUGACCGAGCAACGCCGCGUGAGUGAAGAAGGUUUUCGGAUCGUAAAGCUCUGUUGUAAGAGAAGAACGGGGGUGAGAGUGGAAAGUUCACACUGUGACGGUAUCUUACCAGAAAGGGACGGCUAACUACGUG
rnacentral:rRNA from 1 species